AACGAACGCUGGCGGCAGGCUUAAUACAUGCAAGUCGAGGGGCAGCAUGAUUGUAGCAAUACAAUUGAUGGCGACCGGCAAACGGGUGCGGAACACGUACACAACCUCCCAAUAAGUGGGGAAUAGCCCAGAGAAAUUUGGAUUAAUACCCCGUAACAUAACGAUGUGGCAUCACAUUGUUAUUAUAGAUUUUUCGCUUAUUGAUGGGUGUGCGGCUGAUUAGAUAGUUGGCGGGGUAACGGCCCACCAAGUCUACGAUCAGUAGCUGAUGUGAGAGCAUGAUCAGCCACACGGGCACUGAGACACGGGCCCGACUCCUACGGGAGGCAGCAGUAAGGAAUAUUGGACAAUGGACGCAAGUCUGAUCCAGCCAUGCCGCGUGAAGGAUUAAGGUCCUCUGGAUAGUAAACUUCUUUUAUAAGGGACGAAAAAAGGCUUUUCUAAGUCGUCUGACGGUACCUUAUGAAUAAGCACCGGCUAACUCCGUGCCAGCCGCCGCGGUAAUAC
rnacentral:rRNA from 1 species